rnacentral:rRNA from 1 species
UCAGUUAUCGUUUAUUUGAUAGUACCUUACUACUUGGAUAACCGUGGUAAUUCUAGAGCUAAUACAUGCUAAAAACCCCAACUUCGGGAGGGGUGUAUUUAUUAGAUAAAAAACCAAUGCCCUUCGGGGCUCCUUGGUGAUUCAUAAUAACUUAACGGAUCGCAUGGCCUUGCGCCGGCGACGGUUCAUUCAAAUUUCUGCCCUAUCAACUUUCGAUGGUAAGGUAUUGGCUUACCAUGGUUUCAACGGGUAACGGGGAAUUAGGGUUCGAUUCCGGAGAGGGAGCCUGAGAAACGGCUACCACAUCCAAGGAAGGCAGCAGGCGCGCAAAUUACCCAAUCCCGACACGGGGAGGUAGUGACAAUAAAUACUGAUACAGGGCUCUUUUGGGUCUUGUAAUCGGAAUGAGUACAAUUUAAACCCCUUAACGAGGAACAAUUGGAGGGCAAGUCUGGUGCCAGCAGCCGCGGUAAUUCCAGCUCCAAUAGCGUAUAUUAAAGUUGUUGCAGUUAAAAAGCUCGUAGUUGAACCUUGGGCCUGGCUGGCCGGUCCGCCUCACCGCGUGUACUGGUCCGGCCGGGCCUUUCCUUCUGGAGAUCCUCAUGCCCUUCACUGGGUGUGUUGGGGAACCAGGACUUUUACUGUGAACAAAUUAGAGUGUUCAAAGCAGGCCUUUGCUCGAAUACAUUAGCAUGGAAUAAUAGAAUAGGACGUGCGGUCCUAUUUUGUUGGUUUCUAGGACCGCCGUAAUGAUUAAUAGGGAUAGUCGGGGGCAUCAGUAUUCAAUUGUCAGAGGUGAAAUUCUUGGAUUUAUUGAAGACUAACUACUGCGAAAGCAUUUGCCAAGGAUGUUUUCAUUAAUCAGUGAACGAAAGUUAGGGGAUCGAAGACGAUCAGAUACCGUCGUAGUCUUAACCGUAAACUAUGCCGACUAGGGAUCGGGCGAUGUUUCUAUCUUGACUCGCUCGGCACCUUACGAGAAAUCAAA